AUAUCAAUAAGCGGAGGAAAAGAAACCAACAGGGAUUGCCUUAGUAACUGCGAGUGAAGCGGCAAGAGCUCAAAUUUGAAAUCUGGCGCCUUUGGUGUCCGAGUUGUAAUUUGGAGAGGCAUCUUCGGGUGCGGCGCCGGCCUAAGUUCCUUGGAACAGGACGUCAUAGAGGGUGAGAAUCCCGUUCUCGGCUGGCUGUCCGUAUCCAUGUGAAGUGUCUUCGACGAGUCGAGUUGUUUGGGAAUGCAGCUCAAAAUGGGUGGUAAACUCCAUCUAAAGCUAAAUACUGGCGAGAGACCGAUAGCGCACAAGUAGAGUGAUCGAAAGAUGAAAAGCACUUUGAAAAGAGAGUUAAAAAGUACGUGAAAUUGUUGAAAGGGAAGCGCUUGAGACCAGACUCGGCGGGAGGUAUUCAUCGUCCCUUCUGGGGCGUGCACUUGCCUCUCGUCGGGCCAGCAUCGGUUGCGGCGGCGGGAUAAAGACCUGGGGAAUGUGGCUGCUCUCGGGCAGUGUUAUAGCCCCGGGUGUCAUGCCGCCUGCUGCGACCGAGGACCGCGCUUCGGCUAGGAUGCUGGCACAAUGGUCUUCAGCGA
rnacentral:rRNA from 1 species